rnacentral:rRNA from 1 species
UCGAACGAGGCCUGGGGGGCAACUCCCAGAGUCGAGUGGCGGACGGGUGAGUAACACGUGGGUAACCUGCCCGGAAGUGGGGAAUACCUCGGGGAAACUCGAGCUAAUUCCGCAUGACAUCUUCGGGACGAAAGUCCUGACGAUCAAAGCGGGGUCGCAAGAUCUCGCGCUACCGGAUGGGCCCGCGCCCGAUUAGCUAGUUGGUGAGGUAACGGCUCACCAAGGCUUCGAUCGGUAACCGGCCUGAGAGGGCGAUCGGUCACACCGGAACUGAGACACGGUCCGGACUCCUACGGGAGGCAGCAGUGGGGAAUCUUGCGCAAUGGGCGAAAGCCUGACGCAGCAACGCCGCGUGGAGGAUGAAGGCCCUUGGGUUGUAAACUCCUGUCGGCUGGGAAGAAGUCAUACGGUGCUAAUACCACCGUGUGUUGACUGUACCAGCAAAGGAAGCCCCGGCUAACUCUGUGCCAGCAGCCGCGGUAAUACAGAGGGGGCCAGCGUUA